CCCUUAGAUGUUCUGGGCUGCACACGCGCUACACUGGCAGGUUCAGCGAGCUUCUUGCCCUGAUCUGAGAAGAAUGGGAAACCUUUUCAACACCUGCCGUGCUUGGGAUAGAUGUUUGCAAUUAUUCAUCUUCAACAAGGAUUGCCUUGUAGGCGUGCCUCAUCAGGGCACUUCGAAUACGACCCUGUAUUCUGUACACACCGCCCGUCGCUCCUACCGAUUGAAGUUUUCGGUGAAUUUGCAGGAGGUUUGCUUUGAAACUGGUUCGCCAGUGGAUUUGUGGACCAAAUGCAUGUGAAUCGAUGGCUUUAGAGGAAGGAGAAGUCGUAACA
rnacentral:rRNA from 1 species